rnacentral:rRNA from 1 species
AUUGAACGCUGGCGGCAGGCUUAACACAUGCAAGUCGAGCGGAGAGAGGUAGCUUGCUACUGAUCUUAGCGGCGGACGGGUGAGUAAUGCUUAGGAAUCUGCCUAUUAGUGGGGGACAACAUUUCGAAAGGAAUGCUAAUACCGCAUACGUCCUACGGGAGAAAGCAGGGGAUCUUCGGACCUUGCGCUAAUAGAUGAGCCUAAGUCGGAUUAGUUAGUUGGUGGGGUAAAGGGCUACCAAGGCGACGAUCUGUAGCGGGUCUGAGAGGAUGAUCCGGCACACUGGGACAGAGACACGGCCCAGACUCCUACGGGAGGCAGCAGUGUGGAAUAUUGGACAAUGGGCGCAAGCCUGAUCCAGCCAUGCCGCGUGUGUGAAGAAGGCCUUAUGGUUGUAAAGCACUUUAAGCGAGGAGGAGGCUACUUUAGAUAAUACCUAGAGAUAGUGGACGUUACUCGCAGAAUAAGCACCGGCUAACUCUGUGCCAGCCGCCGCAGUAAGAC